UACGAAGGGGGCUAGCGUUGUUCGGAAUUACUGGGCGUAAAGCGUGCGCAGGCGGCGCGUUAAGACAGGUGUGAAAGCCCCGAGCUUAACCUGGGAACUGCAUUUGUGACUGCAUCGCUGGAGUGCGGCAGAGGGGGAUGGAAUUCCGCGUGUAGCAGUGAAAUGCGUAGAUAUGCGGAGGAACACCGAUGGCGAAGGCAAUCCCCUGGGCCUGCACUGACGCUCAUGCACGAAAGCGUGGGGAGCAAACAGG
rnacentral:rRNA from 1 species